rnacentral:misc_RNA from 1 species
UCCGUCUACCGCUGCUGCUCGUCUUUCUUUGUUAAGGAGCCAUGGCACAAGACACAGGCAUGUUUACCGUGCAUCAUACGAUUGGAAAUGUUUUAUGCUGCAAAUGUGGUAUAAGUAUGCAACCAAAUGCUGCUAAUAUGUGUGCUAACUGCUUAAGGUCUGAAAUUGACAUAACAGAAGGUCUUCAGAAGCAUGUUAUCAUAUGCCAUUGCCCUGAAUGUGAUAGCUAUUUGCAACCUCCAAGGACUUGGA